rnacentral:rRNA from 1 species
GAUAUGAACCGUUAUAACCGGCGAUACCCGAAUGGGGAAACCCAGUGUGACUCGUCACACUAUCAUUAACUGAAUCCAUAGGUUAAUGAGGCGAACCGGGGGAACUGAAACAUCUAAGUACCCCGAGGAAAAGAAAUCAACCGAGAUUCCCCCAGUAGCGGCGAGCGAACGGGGAGGAGCCCAGAGCCUGAAUCAGCAUGUGUGUUAGUGGAAGCGUCUGGAAAGGCGCGCGAUACAGGGUGACAGCCCCGUACACAAAAGCGCAUGUGCUGUGAGCUCGAUGAGUAGGGCGGGACACGUGGUAUCCUGUCUGAAUAUGGGGGGACCAUCCUCCAAGGCUAAAUACUCCUGACUGACCGAUAGUGAACCAGUACCGUGAGGGAAAGGCGAAAAGAACCCCGGCGAGGGGAGUGAAAAAGAACCUGAAACCGUGUACGUACAAGCAGUGGGAGCACCCUUUGGGUGUGACUGCGUACCUUUUGUAUAAUGGGUCAGCGACUUAUAUUCUGUAGCAAGGUUAACCGAAUAGGGGAGCCGGAGGGAAACCGAGUCUUAAUUGGGCGUUAAGUUGCAGGGUAUAGACCCGAAACCCGGUGAUCUAGCCAUGGGCAGGUUGAAGGUUGGGUAACACUAACUGGAGGACCGAACCGACUAAUGUUGAAAAAUUAGCGGAUGACCUGUGGCUGGGGGUGAAAGGCCAAUCAAACCGGGAGAUAGCUGGUUCUCCCCGAAAGCUAUUUAGGUAGCGCCUCGUGAAUUCAUCUCCGGGGGUAGAGCACUGUUUCGGCUAGGGGGCCAUCCCGGCUUACCAACCCGAUGCAAACUGCGAAUACCGGAGAAUGUUAUCACGGGAGACACACGGCGGGUGCUAACGUCCGUCGUGAAGAGGGAAACAACCCAGACCGCCAGCUAAGGUCCCAAAGUCAUGGUUAAGUGGGAAACGAUGUGGGAAGGCCCAGACAGCCAGGAUGUUGGCUUAGAAGCAGCCAUCAUUUAAAGAAAGCGUAAUAGCUCACUGGUCGAGUCGGCCUGCGCGGAAGAUGUAACGGGGCUAAACCAUGCACCGAAGCUGCGGCAGCGACACUGUGUGUUGUUGGGUAGGGGAGCGUUCUGUAAGCC